ensembl:lincRNA 9330104G04Rik RIKEN cDNA 9330104G04 gene
GCUUCUGAGUCUGCGCAGAAGGAUCAUCAGUGAUGAUUGAAUCCGGAUCACGCCUCCUCUUCCAGGCAGCUUUCCCAGACCCUCAGAAGUAAAGCGGAUUGAACAUCUUACGGUUUGAUUAUGCUUUUAAAAGCAUAAUCAAACCGUAAAAAGCAGGACCCGUUCAAACCGGCUCUGUAAUUCCAUCAUAGGGGAGGCUGAACCAGGAGGAGAAUUGAGAGUUCAAGGCCAGCCUAAACUACAUAGUGAAUUUCAAGCUAGUUUGGAUUACACAGCGAGUUUCUGUCUCAUCAAAACAGCACACUUACGGAAUUACAAGACCCUGGGUGAAAUAUUCUAUGCUUUGACCAGAAGAGAAUCUGAGGUCUUUUUUGUCUUCCAGGUGCGGUGGAGCUGAGUUCCACCAGUCUGAGCUCGCAGGGGCCUUUGUUCACGGCUCUAAGAGGCUUUGUUCUCAGUCUUCUGAGAUGCUCUGUUCUCAACGUUCUUAAGUUCUAAAUCUGAGCCUGCCUGCUUUCGAAGGCUGCAUUCUGCCUCUUCUCACUGGGCAAGCAGGGCUAGCGCCCCCUCACGCGGCCACCAUGUGUCACUACACCCGGUGUGUCGGCAACGUUUGUGAAAUAGCCCAUUUCUCAUCGGACCUUUGACUCCUUAAAAGCUCAGAUCUGGAAGGGAGGAUGGGGCCCUAGAAUCGCGCCUCAGGGCCAAGAAGGAAAAGCUGGAAGCUUCGAUGCUCUGAUCCCCUAGCCACACCUGCCCAUGCUCUCAGACUGCCCUAGGCUGCCCUAUUUCCAUCCCUUUCCUGCCUACUCAGGACUGUCUCCAGGACUCAUCUGUAUGUCCAUGCAAUGGUAGCAGGGCCCGAGGUGUCAUGGUCACCACCGCAUACCCCGAAUCACUGAGCACAGUGACAGAAAUGGGCAGGGGUGAAGGAGCACCCACAGUGUGUCAAGAAGUCAUUGCAAUAGAAAAUACUCCGGCUGGGAAGGCAGCUCAACAGGCCCAGUGCUCGCCGUGAAAACAUGAGUGAACUCAGAGUCCCGGGCUCCAUGCAACAGGCCAAAUGCAAUGGUUCCACGAUUGUCUUUUUAGUGCGGGGAAUGGAUGCAGGAGGAGCUUGAUGGCCAGCCAGUCCAGCCCGUUAGUGAGCUUGAGGGUCACCAAGAGACCCUGUUUCAAAAACGAAGUGGACAGAUAGGCCGGCAAGAUGGCUUUCAGUGGGAAGGCGAUCAUGCUGCUGAUGCCAAGGACCUGAGUUCUGUUCCUGGUGCCCAUGUCCACAUGGCAGACAGAGAUAACUGACCUCUGCAGGCAUGACACCGAACACACCCUGCCCCAAAAUUAAAUACAAUAAAAAGCAAGGUAGAGGGUAACAGAGGAACAAUCAUGAUAGAGACAUUUUCAUUUUCUUCCAAGACAAGGUUUUUUUCUGUGUAGUCCUGGCUGUCCUGGAACUCACUCUGUCAACCAGGCUGGCCUCGAACUCCCGAGAUCCACCUGCCUCUGCCUCCUGAGUGCUGGGAUUAAAGGUGUGUGCCACCACUGUCUGGCAUGAUAUAGACUUUUUGUCUCCAUGAGUGCAGUCGCAGGCUGUACUAGGUGGCUCUCAGUGGUACGGGCCUUGCCUGGUAUUUGUAAGGGCUCAGGCUCCAUCCCCAGAAUCUCAAAUGGAAGGACGAAAAGGAGGAAGGGGAGUCUUUGACAUCAUCAUGGUACAAAGACGAACUUGCUGCACAAACACAGGACUGGUACUUGGAUCCCCGCGUAAUCGAUGUGCACAGAAGCCUGCCCGUAACUUCAGCACCUUGGAAAGCAAAGACAGAGGAGUCCCUGGAGCAAGCUGGCUAGAUAGGCCCUGGACGGCCUGCCUAUGCCUCUGGGCUAGAGAGAUGAUUCAGCGGGCAAAGGCAUGUGCCACCAAGCACGCUGUGGAGCUCAGACAACUACCUUUGGGAGCCAGUUUUCUCCUUUCAGUGUGGGUUCUGGGGAUAGAACUCAGGUUGUCAGGCUUGGUGUAGGACCUUUAAUUUUUGAGCUGUCUCUCCUUUCAGUAUUGUGUUGAAAGGAGGGUGGUGGUGCACACCUUUAGUCCCAGCACUUGGAAGGCAGAGGCAGGCAGAUCUCUGAACUGGAGACCAGCCUGGUCUACAGAGUGAGUUCCAUCUAGGACCCUGAAAAACAGAGGUGGGGGGGGGGAGGACAAAAGCAUGGCAGAUAUAUCCCAGACUGGUCUUAAAAUAUAAUUUAAAAAUAAUACAUAUAGUUAAAGAUG